GACGAACGCUGGCGGCGUGCUUAACACAUGCAAGUCGAACGGAAAGGCCCUGCUUUUGUGGGGUGCUCGAGUGGCGAACGGGUGAGUAACACGUGAGUAACCUGCCCUUGACUUUGGGAUAACUUCAGGAAACUGGGGCUAAUACCGGAUAGGAGCUCCUGCUGCAUGGUGGGGGUUGGAAAGUUUCGGCGGUUGGGGAUGGACUCGCGGCUUAUCAGCUUGUUGGUGGGGUAGUGGCUUACCAAGGCUUUGACGGGUAGCCGGCCUGAGAGUGUGACCGGCCACAUUGGGACUGAGAGACGGCCCAGACUCCUACGGGAGGCAGCAGUGGGGAAUAUUGCACAAUGGGCGGAAGCCUGAUGCAGCAACGCAGCGUGAGGGAUGACGGCCUUCGGGUUGUAAACCGCUUUCGCCUGUGACGAAGCGUGAGUGACGGUAAUGGGUAAAGAAGCACCGGCUAACUACGUG
rnacentral:rRNA from 1 species